GCGGUUCUAGGAGUUCGUCAGCCCCAGUUCCCCAAAGUCCUUGUACCAUAGACGAACCCGUAGCUAGGACUAAAUCUCGACUGGCCUUUGCACCGGACACCAUCUCCAGCUCCUUGACUCCAGAUGAACUCUUACUAAUAAGGAUUCAGUAUGGAGUUCCUCCAGAGUAUAAGCUGGAGCUUUCCGGGCCAACUAAUCGGGC
rnacentral:lncRNA from 1 species